CUGCCCUUGAUGCCCAGAUUGAAGUGCUAAGCCCUCUUCAGCCUGUGUUAGAGUGCUUCAAAGAGGAAUACAAGACCCUGGGCAGAGCCCUGGACACCACGCGACACGAGCUGCCCACACAGGCUGUCCACAUGGAAGGAAGUGGGCAGGAGCUCCUAGAUGAUCUGGAGCCAGCCCUGACA